UUUAGAGUCCCCUCAUUCCCUGCCUUUCUGUGGAGGAGUGCGAUACUCUACUUUUUUGUGGGAUAGUUGGACAAGUUUUGUUAGGAGUUUGAAGGAAGACGAGUGACUUAGCGGGAGGUAACCAGAAUUUAUAAAAUACCAGCUGAAUAAAAUAUUUUGAGAGGUAUUCAUAUUUUCUGGAAAUAUAUCAAGGAAAGAAAUCAUGUCUUAUGUCCCCACGUCUUUGGAGCUGAAUUACUAUUUGAAAUGCUUCGUCUGCCGGGAAAUGUUCACUGGGCAGGUCAGCCAGUGCAAGAAUGGGCACAAUGUCUGCUCCGGACACGUUUCCAGUCUGGGGAAUAAGUGUGCCCAGUGCAACGCUUCCUUUCUGGAAACGCGGAACUUUUUGGCGGAAAAUCUCGUCAGGUCGGGAUAGGAUCCAGAGGGAGAUUCGCCGCAGUGGGGAAGAUAUGACGUACACUGUUGUGAUUGCCGCUACAGUUUUUGCGGCGGUGGCGUAUGGGUUUUUCCUUGCUAGGAUUGGAAAAUCCUGAUUUUUUUAUGGAAACUUACAUAAAUAAUGGAAAGAAAUUGUGGGAUUUUUUGGAGAUUAUGGAUUUAUG